CCUGUCGGUCCCGAAAGAACAGGCACUUUCUCACACUGGUUUCCUUCCUCAUUGGACAACGCAAAACAAUCACACGGCGAGCAGCAAAACCCGAAAGAAAGAAAGAUAGAGGAGAAUGGAGACAAAAAGCAGUGUUUGCUAGCAAUCAAGAGGAAACAUUCAGGGAUGGAAGGUUGAAUGAACGGUGCUUUUAGGAAAAGUGCGGCGAGGCCGUGCGGGAUUCAGGAAGCACCUGCCGACGUGGACUAUUUAUCUGAGCCGGCUCACAUCAGGAUCCCCUCGGAAGAGACACUUAAUCGUGAUGGAAGUGGCUGGCAAACAGAAGGAGCGCUUUAAUGAGCCGCGACUCAAAGUCCUUCCUGACGCGUCACCUCUGUCCUCACUACACAAACACGGCAGCCUUGGAAGACGGCCUUCCUUUUCCUCCGCGUGCCUAUAUCGAGACGCAGUGAAAACAAGUAGGCUCAUCAAUUAGCCUGCCUCGUAUAGCCUUCACCCCGCUGUCCUCCGUGUCACCUGUAUUGCUUAACCCCCAACCCACACCGUUUGCGCUAACCAAGCUUUUACCAUUACAGUCGAAUCAGCAUUUUUUUCCAAACGGUGUUGUUAUUGAGGUUUGGUGCAGCUGUUGAUAUAAUUAUGCUUAAAUGACUAUUUCUCAUGGCUGAGUGCCGGUGAUGACUGCAGGUGGACCGGGCACAGGUGGCGAAUAUAAUAGUGGGGAUGCAAAAAUGAUCAUUUGACUGAAUAUAUAUAAUUAAGCACUGCAAAUGCACACUAUUAGCUGAAGUGACGUCACACAUAAAUGACUGGAAUUAAAUGUAAAAUGAUCCGAGUUAACUCCACAGAAGCCCCCCAAGGUGGCCUUUGGGUGGCCCCGCCUUCCGUACUAUCUUGUUAUCUCAGCAAGUGUUUCCUGCGAGCACCUCACUCUUCUCUAGGGCAUGCGGUGGAGCUUGUGCCGGGUUAACGUCCGCGGGGUAUUGUUCUCCCACAGUUUGACCAUCGUAAAUUAGCUGGAAACGAUUUGUCAAACGUGAGAGCCAGGAAAGGGUGAGAAACAACAACAAAAUCUGGGUCCUGAUGUGGCCCCCGCACUGAACCUUACAUGGCACAGAUAUGGUAAUGGUCGCUCAGAUUACAGCCACUCGGGUUUUUUUAGAGACGGAUUAUCUAGAACACUCGAGUAUGAGCAAAGUGAUUGGAAUUUGCAUAUUUGAGACUUCCAUGUUGAGCAAUCGUAACCUCCUGUGUUUAGUUGAGAAUUCAAGAGGGACCACCCUGUGUUUACGCCAGAUCCGGAUUGCUAAUAACCUUCAACUUGACGCACUUUAAUGAGGGAAUUCCUGCGCAUUAGAGGAUGUCUCACACACAUCCUGGCUUUUAAUCAAUCCUCGUGCUCCAGCGACCCAUUUUAGGGUACGGUGUCAGUGGAAUAUCCAAGGAUUUUUUAGAAAACAAAAUUGAAAGAAAAAUGUGUCAUAUCCUAACAGCAGCUGACUUGGACAGAUUAUUCAAAUUCUAAUUGUCUUUUAUGAGAAAAUGUUUUUUAAAUGAGAGCAAAUUGGAAGUCAACAAGCAUCACAGAGCAACUUUGACAGCAUGCUUUUUUUGGCUUUCGCUCGGUAUUCCCUCAAGGGGCUCUCCUACCCGUCAUGACCGACGUUCCCAUGGUUGGCAGUGACGUCAGAGGACGCUAAGAUUGACGGGGAUGGAGAAUUAAAAGUUCUCUGUCGAUUCAGGAUAGAGGUCAAAGGAGUGAGAAUCAAAACAUGUCGUAAAGUAUGCCAACAACAGCAGUGUGUCCAACAGGCCAAUUUAAUGUUUUAACUUCUAUAAGCACGUCAAAGAAGGCCGCGCUGAGACGGACUAUACUGGGAACUUGUCACAUUAAAAAUCUUUUAAAAAAUAUAUCCCCUUUAAUAACAUUUAUUAUUGCUUUGAUAAGGGAAAAAAUGGCCCUGACAAUCAUUUUGGGCAAGGAAAAAGAAUUCUAUAUGAAAACACAGUAAAAUAACUUUUUUUUUUCUUCCAAAAGGAAGUUCCUUCCGAACAGCAAAGCGGAUUGUUCUCCAGCUUUGAUUGUUUAUGCAAAGCUUGAUGUUUUCUCCGAAUUAUGUUACACUCUGUGACAGGCAGUUUAGCGCAGGAACAAAUACAGUUGGACUGAGAUAGGUGUUACUCAUUUGGUAGCAUGAGAAAGUACAUCCAAACUUUUGACUUUCAGGCAGAAGACAUCUUCACAAGUCAGGAAAACAAAAAGACACAAAGGUCUGACACUUAGUAUUUUUUUUCUCCACUCUACACAAUACACUGUUGGACUCAAAGGACUGUCAAAACAACAUUUAAUUUUCCAAUGACGAGACAGCAGUCACGGGAGAACAAGAUAAGCAUCUGGGCUACAUUGAAGUUGGUUCCUGUUUGUCCUUUGGGAGACUGAGUCUUUAUUCAUCAUCGUGACUACUACUACUGCUGCUAAAACUAUCAUCCCUUGAAAGAGAAUCUUUGUAGACAACAUGGCUCGCCCUGCAGACAAUAACAACUUUCAACCAUGCAUCCGUCUAUAGACGUCAAUGGUCGUGAAUGAGUUAAAAAAAAUUGUUUGUAAUAAAUAAACUAUAUUUUUCAGGCAAAUUAAGUGAUUCACAUAGUUGCUGAUCUCUCAUAGAGCACUGAUUGGGAAUGAGUUCUCUAAGUAACAAAAGCAAUUAUCACCACGCCACCAUGUUUGCGGCUGGUACUCAAGAACGACGUUAAGCAGGCUACUGAUUAGGAGAGUAGCCGACUA